AUAAAUUAAAGUUUGGGUUUCAAGAGAAGAGAGUCAAUUGGGGGUUAGGGUUUUUAACCUCAAUUUAGGGACCAAAUUGAGUCAAAACAGUUUACGUUGCCAUGUCAGCUAGCUGUUGUGCUGACAGCGUGUCACGAACGAGUCCAAGUCAGCUUUCCGGUUGCGCCAGCUAGACGAAAUUGGCCGGAAGGACGAGUCUGAGUUCCGGAGUGCAACUUCAGGGAUGAAUAUGAGUAAUUUUUAACUUCAGGGAUCACUAUGAGGCUCGACGAUAACUUUAGGGACCACUUUGAGACUUAUC